GACGAACGCUGGCGGCGUGCUUAACACAUGCAAGUCGAGCGGUAAGGCUCCUUCGGGAGUACACGAGCGGCGAACGGGUGAGUAACACGUGAGCAAUCUGCCCUUCACAUGGGAAUAACUUCGGGAAACCGAAGCUAAUACCGAAUACGACCACCGAUGGCAUCUUCUGGUGGUGGAAAGUUCCGGCGGUGAAGGAUGAGCUCGCGGCCUAUCAGCUUGUUGGUGAGGUAAUGGCCCACCAAGGCGACGACGGGUAGCCGGCCUGAGAGGGUGACCGGCCACACUGGGACUGAGACACGGCCCAGACUCCUACGGGAGGCAGCAGUGGGAAUAUUGGACAAUGGGCGAAAGCCUGAUCCAGCAACGCCGCGUGAGGGAUGACGGCCU
rnacentral:rRNA from 1 species